rnacentral:lncRNA from 1 species
CCAGGCUGUACCUCCAUAUUAAACAAUACUUUGUAGUUAGACAGUUUGUUUCAUCAAAAGGCUGCAGGGAGAGCUUUAACAAGCAUUUAGUAAUUAAAUUUCAAAACAUCCUUAUGAGGCAAGCAGUGCACUAUUUUUCUGCCUUGUUCAGAAGGAAACCAGGUGAGCUGUGAAGAGGUCAAAUGACUUGUGACAGUGGACAUCUCAGGAAGACGGGCCGCUUCAUCCCUGUACUUCACUCAGCAUAACUGACAUGAGGUGAAAGUUCAAAGAGGUUAUUCUCAAGUGGUGAGACGGACAAUGCAGUGAGGAUUCUGGAAAAACAAAUUCUCCUCCUGAGCGGCAGGUCAGACAAGCUUGGUGGAAGCCCACAGAACUUCCCUGACACCAUGGAGACCAACCACACUCCCUGUCCCAUGGCAGGCAUGUGACUCCUUGUCUUGGGGUUUAUAGAGGCUGUGCAGACCCACUGUGUGUCAGGGUGUGUGAUCCUUCGGCACUUUCACGUACAGCUGUAAAGGGCCCAACACUGAGCUUGGCACCAGGAAGCGCGCAGGAGGGGUUUGAGCACCGGGCUCACAGGCACCAUCACGGCUUGAUUGAUACCAGGUACCAGACACCAUAGCUAUCAGUUAGCAUCACCAGUUAAGCUCUGCUUUUACUGCAGUGAACAGAGCAGACAUCAGCUGUCAUGAGAAAACACACCACACGAGAGAGCUUCAUUCGUAGAAGCCUGAGCCUGAGCCAGACCUACAGGCCUUGUUUGCCUCAAUAGGGAAAAUAAUUUUUAAAUGAGGAUGUUAAAUUGCCUUCUACUUUGAGUCUCUUGAAUAUUAGUGUUGACUUAAACCUUCCCCAUGGAGAGGAGUGGCACGGACCGGCUGAGCGGUGAGGUGGCAUCAGCACCAGCCUGGAAAGGAGCCGCGCUAGGUUGACAUCUCUGCCCUCCGUCAUGUAACAAUGGCUGAGGUUAUUGACCAGUUACUGUACUGAUCACUUUACGCACAUUACUCUGUUUAACCCUGGAUGGAGGAGUCCCGUUAUUAUUCCCAUUUUCCAGAUGAGGAAUUUGGAGCAGAGAGGUCAAGUGGCAGAUCUGGGAUGAAAGAAAACAACUGGACUUCACAGCCUGUGCUCUUAACCAAACUGCCUGAACUGAGACCCGCAGAGCCAACCCAAACUGAAAACACACGCAGCGAUCGCAAACUCAUUGUCGAAACACGGCAGACACUUCAAGAAC